GGGCCCGCACAAGCGGUGGAGCAUGUGGUUUAAUUCGAUGCAACGCGAAGAACCUUACCUACUCUUGACAUCUACAGGAUCCUGCGGAGACGCGGGAGUGCCUUCGGGAACUGUAAGACAGGUGCUGCAUGGCUGUCGUCAGCUCGUGUUGUGAAAUGUUGGUUAAGUCCCGCAACGAGCGCAACCCUUAUCCUUGUUUGCCAGCGAGUAAUGUCGGGAACUCCAGGGAGACUGCCGGUGAUAAACCGGAGGAAGGUGGGGACGACGUCAAGUCAUCAUGGCCCUUACGAGUAGGGCUACACACGUGCUACAAUGGCGCAUACAGAGGGCAGCAAGCUAGCGAUAGUGAG
rnacentral:rRNA from 1 species